UAUCAGUCAUGCAUAGCAUAUCAAUAAGCGGAGGAAAAGAAACUAACAAGGAUUCCCUUAGUAACGGCGAGUGAAGCGGGAAGAGCUCAAAUUUGAAAUCUUCAAGGUUUUACCUUGACGAAUUGUAAUUUAAAGAAGUGUUUUUCUGUUGAAGUUUUGGUAUAAGUUCUUUGGAAUAGGACAUCAUAGAGGGUGAGAAUCCCGUAUUUGACCAUUACUUUCAGCUUUGUGAUACACUUUCAAAGAGUCGGAUUGUUUGGGAAUGCAGUCCAAAAUGGGUGGUAAAUUUCAUCUAAAGCUAAAUAUUGGCGAGAGACCGAUAGCGAACAAGUACCGUGAGGGAAAGAUGAAAAGAACUUUGAAAAGAGAGUUAAACAGUACGUGAAAUUGUCAAAAGGGAAGCGUUUGACACCAGUGUUGUUUUCUCGAAAAUCAAUUAAAAAGAGUUGGACUUUGUGUUGUAGUUGACUUUAUCAGCUUUCUUCACUCUUUUCCAGCUUUUUUUAAUGCACUUUUCGUUUAACAAGUCAACAUCAGUUUCUUUUGUUGUAAAAAGGUCAUUGGAAGGUGGCUUUCUCUUCGGAGAAAGUGUUUAUAGCCUUUGACUCAUGCAAUCGGAGAGACUGAGGUCUGCAGCGUAGAUCCUUCGGGGUUAGAUACAUUUGUGCUAAGUUAUAGCUUUUCAUAGACAACUUGUUGACUAUGUUUAGUCUUGUAGCUUACUCGCUUAUGCUAUUUUACCUACGCUUAGGAUGUUGAACUCUAUCACACACAG
rnacentral:rRNA from 1 species